UAAAACUAAAAAAAGAAAUAGAGAAAGAUAGCGGGAAAGAAAAGCGCGAAUGAUGAUGAUUGAUAAUGGCACGGAAUGAUAACAGGGAAGAAAAACG